rnacentral:rRNA from 1 species
ACUGUGGGUAGCGGAGAAAUUCCAAUCGAACCCGGAGAUAGCUGGUUCUCCCCGAAAUAGUUUUAGGACUAGCCUCAAGUUAGAUACCUGGAGGUAAAGCACUGAAUAGCCUAGCGGCCGAGAGGUUAGCGAAGCUUAUCAAACUCAGAAUGCCAGAGUAUUGAUGCUUGGGAGUCAGACAGUGUCAGAUAAAUGUCAUUGUCAAAAGGGAAACAGCCCAGAUCUACAGCUAAGGUCCCAAAGUCAGGUUAAGUGGAAAACGAUGUGAAGAUACGCAGACAACCAGGAUGUUGGCUCAGAAGCAGCCACUCAUUCAAAGAGUGCGUAAUAGCUCACUGGUCGAGCGUCUUUGCGCGGAGAAUUUAACGGGGCUAAACCUGACACCGAAGCUUAGGCAAUACAGCAAUGUAUUGGGUAGGGGAGCGUUGUAUACGCGGUGAAACAGUAGCGCAAGCGGCUGUGGAGUGUAUAGAAGUGAGAAUGCCGGAAUGAGUAGCGCGAAUGCAGUGAGAAUCUGCAUGGCCGAAAGCCUCAGGUUUUUGGAGGAAGGUUCGUCCGCUCCAAGUUAGUCGGGAGCUAAGGUGAGGCCGAAAGGCGUAGCCGAUGCACAUACGGUAGAAAUUCCGUAACCGUCGAAGUAUUUAAGCAAAGGGACACUUUGGGAAGGUACAAGCCAGGCGUUGGUAGCCCUGGCCGUAAGGGACUGAAAAUUAGUAGGGAAGUGUACUGGAACAGAGGCGAGAAAAGCUUUGUGUAUAUACAAGACGCCCGUACCGCAAACCGACACAGGUAGAUGGGAAGAGAAUUCUAAGGCCAACGGGAGAAGGGUUGUUAAGGAACUCGGCAAGUUGACCCCGUAACUUCGGAAUAAGGGGUGCUCACGAGAGUGAGCCGCAGAGAAUAGGCCCAGGCAACUGUUUACCAAAAACACAGGUUUGUGCUAAAUCGAAAGAUGACGUAUACGAGCUGACGCCUGCCCGGUGCUGGAAGGUUAAGAGGAGAUGUGCAAGCAUUGAAUCGAAGCCCCAGUGAACGGCGGCCGUAACUAUAACGGUCCUAAGGUAGCGAAAUUCCUUGUCAGGUAAGUUCUGACCCGCACGAAUGGUGUAACGAUCUGGACACUGUCUCAACAACCCGCCCGGCGAAAUUGUAGUACCGGUGAAGAUGCCGGUUACCCGCGACUAGACGGAAAGACCCCAUGGAGCUUUACUGUAGCCUGAUAUUGGAUUUCGGCACAUCAUGUACAGGAUAGGUGGGAGACAGGGAAACAGGGGCGUCAGCUUCUGCGGAGUCGCCGUUGGGAUACCACUCUUGAUGUAUCGGGGUUCUAACCUGCACCCGUGAUCCGGGUGGGGGACACUGUCAGGUGGGCAGUUUGACUGGGGCGGUCGCCUCCUAAAGAGUAACGGAGGCGUUCAAAGGUCAGCUCAGCGCGGACGGAAAUCGCGCAAUGAGUAUAAACGCAAAAGCUGGCCUAACUGCGAGACCUACAAGUCGAGCAGUAACGAAAGUUGGAGUUAGUGAUCAGGUGGUAGUGAGUGGAAAUGCCAUCGCUUAACGGAUAAAAGCUACCCUGGGGAUAACAGGCUGAUCUCCCCCAAGAGUUCACAUCGACGGGGAGGUUUGGCACCUCGAUGUCGGCUCAUCGCAUCCUGGGGCUGUAUUCGGUCCCAAGGGUUUGGCUGUUCGCCAAUUAAAGCGGCACGCGAGCUGGGUUCAGAACGUCGUGAGACAGUUCGGUCCCUAUCCAUCGUGGGCGUAGGAGUCAUGAGAGGAGCUGUUCCUAGUACGAGAGGACCGGAAUGGACGCACCACUGGUGCAACUGUUGUCGUGCCAACGGCAUAGCAGGGAAGCGAAGUGCGGAUGGGAUAAACGCUGAAGGCAUCUAAGCGUGAAGCCCACCUCAAGAAUAAGACUCCACAAUAGACCCCUGGAGGACUACCAGGUAGAUAGGUCAUCGGUGGAAGCGCUGUAAGGCGUGU